UCAGGAGUUCUGGGCUGUAGUGCACUACACACUAAGUUUGGCAUCAAUAUGGUGACCUCCCAGGAGUCGGGAACCACCAGUUUGCUUAAGAAGGAGUGAAACAGCCAAGGUUGGAAAGGAAGGAGGUCAAAACUCCCGUGCUGAUGAGCGGUGGAAUCGCGCCUGUGAAUAGGCACUGCACUCCAGCCUGG
rnacentral:SRP_RNA from 1 species